AUCCCGUUUGAAUCACAAGUAUGAUGGUUGGAUGCUAGGGCUGUGAUAUGAGGUGUGUCUCCUUUGAACGUUGUUAUGGGAUAAACCCGUGACCUAUCUGAAA